rnacentral:rRNA from 1 species
AGAAAUCAGUUCAGCACUAAGUCACUUUGUCUACAUGGCAAAUGUGAGAUGCAGUGUAUGGAGCGUCAAUAUUCUAGUAUGAGAAAUUAACGAUUUAAGUCCUUCUUAAAUGAGGCCAUUUACCCAUAGAGGGUGCCAGGCCCGUAUAACGUUAAUGAUUACUAGAUGAUGUUUCCAAAGAGUCGUGUUGCUUGAUAGUGCAGCACUAAGUGGGUGGUAAACUCCAUCUAAAACUAAAUAUAACCAUGAGACCGAUAGUAAACAAGUACCGUGAGGGAAAGUUGAAAAGAACUCUGAAUAGAGAGUUAAACAGUACGUGAAACUGCUUAGAGGUUAAGCCCGAUGAACCUGAAUAUCCGUUAUGGAAAAUUCAUCAUUAAAGUUGUAACAUUUUAACAAUAUUAUAAUAAUAGUGUGCAUUUUUUCCAUAUAAGGACAUUGUAAUCUAUUAACAUAUACCAAAUUUAUCAUAAAAUAUGACUUAUAGUUUAUUUAAAUUAUUAUGCUUUCAUUUUAACAUAAAAUAAAUGUCAUUAAUUUGAUAAAGUGUUGAUAAAUUAAAAUUAAUACAGUGCGUUAAUUUUUCGAAAUUAUAUAAUGGCAUAAUUAUCAUCGAUUUUUGUGUUUAUUAUAUGCAUUUGUAUGAUUAA